rnacentral:rRNA from 1 species
AACGAACGCUGGCGGCAGGCCUAACACAUGCAAGUCGAGCGAGGACUUCGGUCCUAGCGGCGGACGGGUGAGUAACGCGUGGGAACGUGCCCUUUGCUUCGGAAUAGCCCUGGGAAACUGGGAGUAAUACCGGAUGAGCCCUUUGGGGGAAAGAUUUAUCGGCGAAGGAUCGGCCCGCGUUGGAUUAGGUAGUUGGUGGGGUAAUGGCCUACCAAGCCGACGAUCCAUAGCUGGUUUGAGAGGAUGAUCAGCCACACUGGGACUGAGACACGGCCCAGACUCCUACGGGAAGCAGCAGUGGGGAAUCUUAGACAAUGGGGGAAACCCUGAUCUAGCCAUGCCGCGUGAGCGAUGAAGGCCUUAGGGUUGUAAAGCUCUUUCAGCUGGGAAGAUAAUGACGGAACCAGCAGAAGAAGCCCCGGCUAACUCCGUG